rnacentral:rRNA from 1 species
GGGAACAUACCCUUUUCUACGGAAUAGCUCUGGGAAACUGGAAUUAAUACCGUAUACGCCCUACGGGGGAAAGAUUUAUCGGGGAAGGAUUGGCCCGCGUUGGAUUAGCUAGUUGGUGGGGUAAAGGCCUACCAAGGCGACGAUCCAUAGCUGGUCUGAGAGGAUGAUCAGCCACAUUGGGACUGAGACACGGCCCAAACUCCUACGGGAGGCAGCAGUGGGGAAUAUUGGACAAUGGGCGCAAGCCUGAUCCAGCCAUGCCGCGUGAGUGAUGAAGGCCUUAGGGUUGUAAAGCUCUUUCACCGAUGAAGAUAAUGACGGUAGUCGGAGAAGAAGCCCCGGCUAACUUCGUGCCAGCAGCCGCGGUAAUACGAAGGGGGCUAGCGUUGUUCGGAAUUACUGGGCGUAAAGCGCACGUAGGCGGAUAUUUAAGUCAGGGGUGAAAUCCCAGAGCUCAACUCUGGAACUGCCUUUGAUACUGGGUAUCUUGAGUAUGGAAGAGGUAAGUGGAAUUGCGAAU